GCCCAGAUGGGAUUAGCUUGUUGGUGAGGUAACGGCUCACCAAGGCGACGAUCCCUAGCUGGUCUGAGAGGAUGACCAGCCACACUGGAACUGAGACACGGUCCAGACUCCUACGGGAGGCAGCAGUGGGGAAUAUUGCACAAUGGGCGCAAGCCUGAUGCAGCCAUGCCGCGUGUAUGAAGAAGGCCUUCGGGUUGUAAAGUACUUUCAGCGGGGAGGAAGGUGUUGUGGUUAAUAACCGCAGCAAUUGACGUUACCCGCAGAAGAAGCACCGGCUAACUCCGUGCCAGCAGCCGCGGUAAUACGGAGGGUGCAAGCGUUAAUCGGAAUUACUGGGCGUAAAGCGCACGCAGGCGGUCUGUCAAGUCGGAUGUGAAAUCCCCGGGCUCAACCUGGGAACUGCAUUCGAAACUGGCAGGCUUGAGUCUUGUAGAGGGGGGUAGAAUUCCAGGUGUAGCGGUGAAAUGCGUAGAGAUCUGGAGGAAUACCGGUGGCGAAGGCGGCCCCCUGGACAAAGACUGACGCUCAGGUGCGAAAGCGUG
rnacentral:rRNA from 1 species